rnacentral:rRNA from 1 species
UACGAAGGGGGCUAGCGUUGCUCGGAAUCACUGGGCGUAAAGCGCACGUAGGCGGCUUUUUAAGUCAGGGGUGAAAUCCUGGAGCUCAACUCCAGAACUGCCUUCGAUACUGGGAGUCUCGAGUUCGGGAGAGGUGAGUGGAACUGCGAGUGUAGAGGUGAAAUUCGUAGAUAUUCGCAAGAACACCAGUGGCGAAGGCGGCUCACUGGCCCGAUACUGACGCUGAGGUGCGAAAGCGUGGGGAGCAAACAGG